CAUUUCUCCCUCGUUCUCCUCGUGGAAACGAUGGAAACAACACCAUCUAGAUCUGCUGAAACCCAUACUAAUUUAUCUCUUCUUAGUGAUCCUUCUCUUUUUUUUUUCCAGAUAUUAUUUCGAGAGCUAAUUUACCUGCUUCAGCUUAUAAAUCCGGAGAAAAGCAUCAUGAAUCAGUUAUGUCUUUGUUCUCAAACCCUAAAAAAUGUGAUUUUUGCGAUUUUUUUUAACACUAGAACCCUAGAAAUUUGUGUACAGAAAAAUGGAGUGAUGUAUGAGUGACGAUGAAGAUACUGAAGAAGAAGAAGAAUCUGAGGAGUUGUAAUCGUUUCAAUGAUUUUCCUCUUGAUUCUCCCAUCCAAGAUGAGUUUCUUUCCCUUGUCAUUAGAUAUUUUUUGGGUUUCAUUGGAUACGUGUUGAGAAAUCUUAUUAUGAUUUAAGAUAAAUUAAGGAUGCUGAGAUAUGGAUUUUAAAUAAGUUUUUCUUAUGGAGAUGUUAAUAGCACACCGAUAUAGUAAGAAUCUAGCUAAAAGUUAAACUUGAUUGUUUGGUUUGUACUGUAGAAAGAAAAUUUGUAAUUGACGCUCCUGCAAUUCUUACAUGUGUUGUGCCGAAUGUAAUUCGGGUUUGAUCCUACUAAAUGUGGAACACCUGAGGUCUUUUUCAAAGAUGAGGAUAAUCUUGAACAGGUUGAUUGUACUAGACAGAAGAAUCAAAUAGAUCCUGGAAGAGAUGGAUGUACAAGUAAACCAAGUUGGUAAGGAAGUUCAGCUAGGGAACUAUGAAGACUACUUGUCCUGAAGGCAGGUUUUUGAAUCGACUAUGAAUGCAGCUUAUGAGUCUAGGGUUUUGAGGGUUUUGGUGAUGAUUGUGUUGUGGUGGUGAUGAAACAGUGCACCAAGGUCCAAUAAUGAACAUGGAAGAAACUCACUGCUCACUCGUAUGUCUUAUGAAUUCUUGUGAUGGGGAGUUAGCUUUGACAGCAUGGGGUACCUCAGACUGCGAUGUAGUAAUCUUGCCUUAACUGAAGCAUGCAUUUUGUCUUUGCAUAUUGCGAUACAGGUCACUUUGAUCUUGAUGGGAAGCCAAGCUUUUGAUUAUAAAUGAUUGGCAGUGGAGAUAUCAGUAUUGAAGGAGCACAAAAUGUAGAAGGUGAGGAAGCUAAUGGUGCAAGAGGUAAACACUAAGAAAUUGAUCAUUUAUAAGGCACGAGGGUACAUUUAAAUCCCCACAUAUACAACAAUGACGUGUGCUAAUGACUUCAUGAAUCAACGUCAAGAUCUUGCAACAAUGUUUAAUGAACAAUCCGUAGUUAUGGCUAAAAACAGGUUGCCUCUGGAUUAUUCCAUGGGUCUCUAUAUCGAAACUAGAUUGAGUGAUGUCUUUGUGAUUGUUGUCCACUGUUUUUGUAAGAGUCUGAAACAAAGGAUGGACUAACUCAAUGUGUGGUGUUUGAAGCGAUAGAAUACUGUGUUGCACGCUUUGCUCACUUCAGGUCUGUCUGAAGCUUUUGCUCUUCCAUUAUUAUGAUUAGGGGUGGUGCUAAUAUAUUGCGCAGAAUAAACACUAUUCUUAUAGUUACUCCCUUUUGAGGGCCAGAUUGAUUUCACCAAAGGCCUCUGUCCAGGAUGGUGAAAAGGUCCAGAACAUAUGAUCAUCUUAGCUUUGACCUUUCAAUAAUGGUUGUUGUCUUCUAGUUUUACUUGAAAGUUUGUGACUAUGAUGGGUUGUGUCUUAUCAAACAGUAUGUAGAUCAACUGCCAAGUGCUCAUCCUGACAGUUCUACUGACAAAUCAGAGUUACAGAAACUCCCGGAUGAUAGAAAGACACAUCCAAUCUAUCCUUAUCAAUAGGAACUACAGCGCAUCCCUUCUUGAUAUCUUUACAAAAGAUGAUUAAACAAACAUGGACGUUAUACCAAUAUAUGUGAUUUCGUGAAAUCAUGUAUGAUGUUGUCUCCAAAUGAGGAUGUUAACAGGUGGUCACUUUGUCUGGAUAAUGUCAAUCUGUCCAGACGAUGUCAUUUUGGUUUCUUUGAGAUGCUAGUCUUUAUCUUCUUUUGGGCAAGUUGUGGUGCUUGUUAUGAACUUGUAAUAAGAUGUUUCUUUUGGAAAAAAUCUUUCUUCCAUUUUGCUUUGAUUUUAUGAUGAAACAUUGAAACUUCAAGAACUGUAUGAACAGGGGUAAUUUGAAUUUGAUAAGAGGGAACUAUGAUUUUAA